rnacentral:lncRNA from 1 species
GAGCCACGGGCUCCACUAAAAAUGUGGCAGUGUGAGAGGCGAGAACAAAAACCGCAGACAGGAAAAGGCACUGGCGAGAAAUCCAAGCUGAUAUGAAGAAAAGAUGAAAACAGCCUCCUGAGGGUCAAGGUGAGACUGACCAACACCUGAUUGCUGGUAUUCACCAGUAGUAAUAAAUCCCUGAUCACAGGUGCUGGAAGUCUCUUCAGAGAAACAAUAUUGCUGCAGGGGACAAACAACUAGUCCUGAUCUUUACACAGCCAUUCUCUGGGAAAAAGUAUCCCCUGAAGUCAAUGUGGAUUCUGCCUAGCUUUCAUCAGAAGGA